rnacentral:rRNA from 1 species
UACGUAGGGACCGAGCGUUGUCCGGAAUCAUUGGGCGUAAAGAGCGUGUAGGCGGCCUGUUAAGUCUUGCGUGAAAUCUCGGGGCUCAACCCCGAGCGGUCGUGAGAAACUGGCAGGCUAGAGUGCGGGAGAGGAGAGUGGAAUUCCCGGUGUAGAGGUGAAAUUCGUAGAUAUCGGGAGGAACACCGGUGGCGAAGGCGGCGACCUGGGUCGAGACUGACGCUGAGGCGCGAAAGCGUGGGGAGCGAACAGG